GCACAUUAAAAAAUAAAAAGUUGGAUAUUAUUUGUUACUGAUAGUUUUUAAAUGCACACAGUUCUAACUUCUAAAACGAGAAUUUUUUGCUUCCUUAAUGAAGUUACACUAAAAACUUACAUAAGUAAAAACAUCAUUUACAGCAACUGCUCUAGUACAGAAAGAGUUUCUCAAUGUUUCCUUUCAAUCAGUUGUGUUUUUAUUUUAUUUAUGAGAGAUAAUGGUACAGUUAUUUAUCUACAUUCUUUUUCAAGAUGUCCAGAUUCGUAACGUUAGUAUUUCUCAGACCUUUAUAUUUUGCAACUAUUGGGUCUUAAGAAGGGUCCUGAACGGUCAGUGAUUGAGAUUUGCUUAACUGCUGGUAGACACGUUAUUAAUUACUACAUGCCCUGACCGUUGGUAAAUUUUGCUGUGGUAGGGAUAUAAAUAGCAACGUUUCCCCCAGAAGUGUGCUAGGAAAGCUCCCCGCAGAACCAGGGUCGUCUCAUCUGACACUUUAGGUUUGAGACCUGAAUAAGCUUUGUAGAAGGAAGAACGAUCAGCUCAUCGCUGUUACAGUGUCACUGCGCUGGCGGCCUGAUUCCUGUAUCUCAGCCCAGCAGGCCCUGCUGUGAGGACGCAAAUCACAAUGACUAAGAGCACAGGCUUAACCAUCAAACUGACAAGGGUUCACAUCUUGACCUCACCACUACUCCCUGCGUAUAAAAUCUGGUGUGCCUUGUGAUUUUUUGUUGAAAGGAGAACAUGAUGUUACUGGCUAAAAGGAACUGGUAAGCAGACCUUUAGUAAUGUAAUGUUAAGUUGUGGGAGAAGAGAAAGCAUUCUGCAGUCCUAUGAUUAAGUCCCUGUCUUCUGAUGAGCCUGUGGCUGUGGAAUGGGAAUUUCACCAGUUUUCUCAGGGAUCUUUCUCCCCUAGGUGGGACAGGAUAGCUAGUUAGCGGGGACUGGGUAUUUCCCUUCUCCCAGAUAGGUCAGGUGCUGAUAUAAUCUCUGCAGAUCAGGCUCUGGUAAAAUAGUUUCUCCACACGGGCAGCCUUGUUAAGAAGAAGAGUGCUCUGACAUAUUUCAAAACAAUUCCUUUUCCUCUCCCUUUGCCAGAAGCAUGAAGGGAUCUUUCUCUGAUAUUUACUGUGAAAACUUGGUAAAGGUCCUGGAGGUAAAACUCAGAAAAGCCUAGAGGCCGCCUUAUUACUCCCUCCGCUGUCUCGAGUUUUUAACUCUAGAACUUGAUAUAUGAGCCUCCAGCAAUUCAUCAAUUACAGUUCAGGUUUUCCACUCUGGCUCUGGUUCCCACAGAGGUUUCUGCUGGUGGGUUUCUGCUCUGGUGCAUUGUGAUUCUCUGUAUCUGCCUGUCUGUCUCUCCAAUCUGGGGCAGCGGUUUGCCUUGUGACCUCACUUCUCUUAUGAAUGUAAGAAAAGUUAUUGAUUUUUCAGUUUUCAUUUUUUUGU